GGGCCCGCACAAGCGGUGGAGCAUGUGGUUUAAUUCGAUGAUACGCGAGGAACCUUACCAGGGCUUAAAUGUAGAUUGCAUUAGCUAGAGAUAGCUAUUUCUUCGGACUAUCUACAAGGUGCUGCAUGGUUGUCGUCAGCUCGUGCCGUGAGGUGUCAGGUUAAGUCCUAUAACGAGCGCAACCCCUGUUGUUAGUUGCCAGCGAGUCAAGUCGGGAACUCUAACAAGACUGCCAGUGCAAACUGUGAGGAAGGUGGGGAUGACGUCAAAUCAUCACGGCCCUUACGUCCUGGCUACACACGUGCUACAAUGGUAGGGACAGAGAGCAGCCACACCGCAAGGUGGAGCGAA
rnacentral:rRNA from 1 species